GACGAACGCUGGCGGCGUGCCUAAUACAUGCAAGUCGAACGCAGUGGGGACGGGCGAGUAACAUGUGGGUAACCUCCCAUCACAGGGGAUAACACUUGGAAACCGGCGCUAUACCCAUACUGAUGGAUGGACCCGCGGUGCAUUAGCCAGUUGGUGGGGGAACGGCUCACCAAGGCCACGAUGCAUAGCCGGCCUGAGAGGGUGAUCGGCCACACUGGAACUGAGACACGGCCCAGACUCCUACGGGAGGCAGCAGUGGGGAAUAUUCGGCAAUGGACGAAAGUCUGACCGAGCAACGCCGCGUGAGUGAAGAAGGUUUUCGGAUCGUAAAGCUCUGUUGUUAGGGAAGCGGUAUCUAACCAGAAAGCAACGGCUAACUCCGUGCCAGCAGCCGCGGUAAUAC
rnacentral:rRNA from 1 species